GACGAACGCUGGCGGCGUGCUUAACACAUGCAAGUCGAACGGAAAGGCCCUGCUUUUGUGGGGUGCUCGAGUGGCGAACGGGUGAGUAACACGUGAGUAACCUGCCCUUGACUUUGGGAUAACUUCAGGAAACUGGGGCUAAUACCGGAUAGGAGCUCCUGCUGCAUGGUGGGGGGUGGAAAGUUUCGGCGGUUGGGGAUGGACUCGCGGCUUAUCAGCUUGUUGGUGGGGUAGUGGCUUACCAAGGCUUUGACGGGUAGCCGGCCUGAGAGGGUGACCGGCCACAUUGGGACUGAGAUACGGCCCAGACUCCUACGGGAGGAAGCAGUGGGGAAUAUUGAACCAUGGGCGGACGCCUGAUGCAGCAACGCCGCGUGCGGGAUGACGGCCUUCGGGUUGUAAACCGCUUUCGCCUGUGACGAAGCGUGAGUGACGGUAAUGGGUAAAGAAGCACCGGCUAACUACGUG
rnacentral:rRNA from 1 species